rnacentral:rRNA from 1 species
UACGGUAGGGUGCAAGCGUUAAUCGGAAUUACUGGGCGUAAAGCGCACGUAGGCGGAUAUUUAAGUCAGGGGUGAAAUCCCGGGGCUCAACCCCGGAACUGCCUUUGAUACUGGGUAUCUCGAGUCCGAGAGAGGUGAGUGGAAUUCCGAGUGUAGAGGUGAAAUUCGUAGAUAUUCGGAGGAACACCAGUGGCGAAGGCGGCUCACUGGCUCGGUACUGACGCUGAGGUGCGAAAGCGUGGGGAGCCAAACAGG